UUUGAAAUACAACAACAAAUGUCAGAAAAACAUUUUCCAAUUAAUUGAAAGCUCAUAGCUCCACAAAACCUCUCGCAUUCGUCUUCAUUUUUAUUACAUUUAUUGUAACAUUUUUUAUACUCGUGUUUAACUCCAAAAUCUAUUCAAAAUUAAUAAGAAAUACAAUAUUAAAAUCAUGAAAUUAUAUAGAAAUUAUCAUAAGAAAAAUUAAAAUUUUAAAUAAUAAUUUAGUACCCGUAAGUAUAUCGGUGCAAUGAACAUUUGAUAGCACGAAGAAGAUAGCAAAAACAAAUGCGAUCAAUAUAUUUUUCGAGAUACCCAUCUUUUUUUAUUGUUGUUUUG
rnacentral:lncRNA from 1 species